rnacentral:rRNA from 1 species
GUAAGGAAUAUUGGACAAUGGUGGCAACACUGAUCCAGCCAUGCCGCGUGAAGGAUGAAGGCGCUAUGCGUCGUAAACUUCUUUUGAACGGGAGAAACCCCUCGUACGUGUACGAGGCUGAUAGUACCGUUAGAAUAAGGGUCGGCUAACUUCGUGCCAGCAGCCGCGGUAAUACGAAGGACCCGAGCGUUAUCCGGAUUCAUUGGGUUUAAAGGGUGCGUAGGCGGAAUGAUAAGUCAGUGGUGAAAUCCUGCAGCUUAACUGCAGAACUGCCAUUGAUACUGUCGUUCUUGAAUGCAACUGAUGUGGGCGGAAUGUGCCAUGUAGUGGUGAAAUACUUAGAUAUGGCACAGAACACCGAUUGCGAAGGCAGCUCACAAAAUUGUUAUUGACGCUGAUGCACGAAAGCGUGGGGAUCAAACAGGAUUAGAUACCCUGGUAGUCC